rnacentral:rRNA from 1 species
UACGGAGGGGACUAGCGUUGUUCGGAAUUACUGGGCGUAAAGGGCGCGUAGGCGGCCUUCUAAGUCGAACGUGAAAUCCCCGGGCUCAACCCGGGAACUGCGUCCGAUACUGGAAGGCUUGAAUCCGGGAGAGGGAUGCGGAAUUCCAGGUGUAGCGGUGAAAUGCGUAGAUAUCUGGAGGAACACCGGUGGCGAAGGCGGCCUCCUGGACCGGCAUUGACGCUGAGGCGCGAAAGCCAGGGGAGCAAACGGG